rnacentral:rRNA from 1 species
CCGCACGCGCGCUACACUGAUCAAGUCAACGAGUUUACUACCUUGGCCGGAAGGUCUGGGUAAUCUUUUGAAACUUGAUCGUGCUGGGGAUAGUCCAUUGCAAUUAUUGGACUUCAACGAGGAAUUCCUAUUAAGCGUGAGUCAUCAGCUCGCGUAGAUUACGU